GUUACGACGACAUAUUUUGUACAAAAAAUUGUUGUAUUUUUGCAACGUGGUCGUGACGUGGACAAUAGAAUUAUAUGUCAUGACGUGGCAGUGGUUAUAGAGCGUAGUAGGGACCAGUCAAGGAGUGCAAACCCCCCGGAAACCGAGACAAAGUCCGCCCCGGCAAGUCGCGUAGACCCGUAGAUCGCGCAUUGGGGGCGGUAAAUCGUUCCAGCACCGGGAGGCCGCAAACCUGAACGAUCCACGAAAGGCAGCAGUUCUGUGCGCCGGCGUCUCGAAAACAUUAGUACAAGCACGCCUGGGGUACCCUCCAUGCACCUUAGUCCACGCCAAUUUGCCAAAUAGAUAUUGCGGUGUGCCAGUGCUCAGUGUGACGUGAGCUCGCGAGGACAAACCAAAGCAAUACCGUGCACAAGCAUUUUGCACUCGCUGUAUGAGUUUUGAAGUUCUAACAAGCAAGCAUGGACCAUAGACGGUAUCACAAUAGUUUAACUUAGAUAGUAUGAGUGACUCGCACAAGGUUAGUCUUAGUCUCUCGCUGAUAUAGGGUCUAAUGUUAUAUAGAAGCUUCAAUCUAUAAAAGCAGUUACGGGCGCACUCCAUAAUAUGUUUCUCAAAGCGGAGGUCGCCAUCGAGCACCAGGCCCAGGCUCUUAACGUUGACCACACGCUCCACCCUUUCCCCACCUAUCAUUAUGUUUAUGGGUAUGUUAUCAUACAGAGCAAUCUUUUUUCUAGAACCAGUUACGAGGAGCUUGGAUUUCUUGGGGUUCAGGACAAGACAGUUUGUUUUGCACCACCUUGAGAUUGUCUUUAGGUCAA